rnacentral:rRNA from 1 species
CCUACGGGAGGCUGCAGUGGGGGAUAUUGGACAAUGGGGGGAACUCUGAUCCAGCGACGCCGCGUGAGUGAAGAAGUAUUUCGGUAUGUAAAGCUCUGUCAGCAGGGAAGAAAGAAAUGACGGUACCUGACCAAGAAGCCCCGGCUAACUACGUGCCAGCAGCCGCGGUAAUACGGAGGGGGCAAGCGUUAUCCGGAAUUACUGGGUGUAAAGGGAGCGUAGACGGUUAAGUAAGUCUGGAGUGAAAGGCCGGGGCCCAACCCCGGGACUGCUCUGGAAACUAUUGAACUUGAGUGCAGGAGAGGUAAGCGGAAUUCCUAGUGUAGCGGUGAAAUGCGUAGAUAUUAGGAGGAACACCAGUGGCGAAGGCGGCUUACUGGACGACUACUGACGCUGAGGCUCGAAAGCGUGGGGAGCAAACAGGAUUAGAUACCCUAGUAGUC